AUUGAACGCUGGCGGCAGGCCUAACACAUGCAAGUCGAGCGGAUGAAGGGAGCUUGCUCCUGGAUUCAGCGGCGGACGGGUGAGUAAUGCCUAGGAAUCUGCCUGGUAGUGGGGGAUAACGUCCGGAAACGGGCGCUAAUACCGCAUACGUCCUGAGGGAGAAAGUGGGGGAUCUUCGGACCUCACGCUACCAGAUGAGCCUAGGUCGGAUUAGCUAGUUGGUGUGGUAAAGGCCUACCAAGGCGACGAUCCGUAACUGGUCUGAGAGGAUGAUCAGGCACACUGGAACUGAGACACGGUCCAGACUCCUACGGGAGGCAGCAGUGGGGAAUAUUGGACAAUGGGCGAAAGCCUGAUCCAGCCAUGCCGCGUGUGUGAAGAAGGUCUUCGGAUUGUAAAGCACUUUAAGUUGGGAGGAAGGGCAGUAAGUUAAUACCUUGCUGUUUUGACGUUACCAACAGAGUAAGCACCGGCUAACUUCGUG
rnacentral:rRNA from 1 species